rnacentral:rRNA from 3 species
GGGUGCGAUCAUACCAGCACUAAAGCACCGAAUUCC